rnacentral:tRNA from 1 species
UUCUAAUAUGGCAGAUUAGUGCAGUGGAUUUAAGCUCUACAUAUAAAGUUUUCGCCUUUUGUUAGAAA